rnacentral:lncRNA from 1 species
UUGACGUCCAGUUUUUUAUCAGGUUUCUUUCAUGUACUCAGAUCUGCCACUUGGUCACCACAAACCAUGUCUGGAACCAGGGAUCCCAGGUGGCAACUUUUGCUCCAAGUGACCCCUCAGUUAUUCUAAUUUUUUGUUCUACGAUGACAUGGAGAAUAAAGUCAGACUUACUAAGGGCAAAGAAGGCUUGCUUAUCUAUUGGUGGAAAAAAAAAAACUUAACCAACUUUCAGAAGAGGUGGGAGGAGCCAAACUGACGUCAGACAGAGGAAAGAGACCUUGUGCAGACUGCGGGGACACAGACUCUGGCCCACAGCACCGACCAGGAGGUCACUACUGUAUGCUUUCCAGGAGAGAAAGUCUUUAUUAGGAAGGACUCAUUUCCUGCACAGUGGGUGAACCGAUAGAGGAGUGGAAAUCCUGCAGCCUCUCAGCUUUGCAUUGUUUAAGGCCUGCAAGGAGUGAUGAGAAUGAGCAGCUGACAGAAAUGAUGUCUGCGUGCACUCUGUUAUGAGGAGGGAGGGCACUUAGUGACAUCGACAAAGAACAGGGAAGAAUGAGCGGCCACCUUAUGGAAGAACAGAAAAACCUGGCAGCAGAGAACUACUAGAAAUUGGGAGGGUGCUUCGCAGGGAAGAACAUGUCAAGUCUAGAGAGUUUUAAAUGUAAUGGCUAAUUCCUUGAAAGAACAUGGAGGGUAAGGGAUGAGGGGUGGCAGCAACUCCUGGAGAUCAGAAAGUAAUUUCUAAAAGUUAAUGGUGAGAUGGGGACAGAGAUGACCAGAAGAUGGUUAAAUGAAAUGAGGCCCAAUCUUGAGGGUUUUAGCAUUUAACUUGUAUCUAAUAUACUGUAACAAGCG